UUGCUCACUUUAAGACUUUCUAUUUUUAAAGUGACCAAUAUAGGGGGGUAUACUAAAUGCUCCAUAAAACUCAAAGUACAGGUUUAUGUUUUGUGCUUUGAAUCCUGUCUGGAGCUAUAUUU